rnacentral:rRNA from 1 species
CAGCACCUCAAGUGGUCAGGAUGAUUAUUGGGCCUAAAGCAUCCGUAGCCGGCUCUGUAAGUUUUCGGUUAAAUCUGUACGCUCAACGUACAGGCUGCCGGGAAUACUGCAGAGCUAGGGAGUGGGAGAGGUAGACGGUACUCGGUAGGAAGGGGUAAAAUCCUUUGAUCUAUUGAUGACCACCUGUGGCGAAGGCGGUCUACCAGAACACGUCCGACGGUGAGGGUUGAAAGCUGGGGGAGCAAACCGGAUUAGAUACCCGAGUAGUCC